rnacentral:rRNA from 1 species
AACGAACGCUGGCGGCGUGGAUUAGGCAUGCAAGUCGAACGGAACUUCUAGCUUUUUCGGAAGUUUAGUGGCGAAAGGGUGAGUAACACGUGACUAACCUGCCCUUGGGCUCGGGAUAACUUGCCGAAAGGCGAGCUAAUACCGGAUACGUUCUUGUUUCUUAACUGGGACAAGAGCAAAGAUGGGGACUUCUUCGGAAGCCUGUCACCUUUGGAUGGGGUCGCGGCCUAUCAGCUAGUUGGUGAGGUAAUGGCUCACCAAGGCUAAGACGGGUAGCUGGUCUGAGAGGAUGGUCAGCCACACUGGGACUGAGACACUGCCCAGACACCUACGGGCGGCUGCAGUCGAGAAUCUUCGCAAUGGGGGAAACCCUGACGAAGCGACGCCGCGUGUAGGAUGAAGGCCUCGG